GACGAACGCUGGCGGCGUGCCUAAUACAUGCAAGUGGGACGCAAGGAAACACACUGUGCUUGCACACCGUGUUUUCUUGAGUCGCGAACGGGUGAGUAACGCGUAGGUAACCUGCCUAUUAGCGGGGGAUAACUAUUGGAAACGAUAGCUAAUACCGCAUAAUAUUAAUUAUUGCAUGAUAAUUGAUUGAAAGAUGCAAGCGCAUCACUAGUAGAUGGACCUGCGUUGUAUUAGCUAGUUGGUAAGGUAAGAGCUUACCAAGGCGACGAUACAUAGCCGACCUGGGAGGGUGAUCGGCCAAACUGGGACUGGGACAAGGCCCAGACUCCUACGGGAGGCAGCAGUAGGGAAUCUUCGGCAAUGGACGAAAGUCUGACCGAGCAACGCCGCGUGAGUGAAGAAGGUUUUCGGAUCGUAAAGCUCUGUUGUAAGUCAAGAACGUGUGUGAGAGUGGAAAGUUCACACAGUGACGGUAGCUUACCAGAAAGGGACGGCUAACUACGUG
rnacentral:rRNA from 1 species